CCUCCUCCACCUGCUGCGGGCAGAUGAAAUGAAUAUGCGAGUCGAUGUGACCGGCGGUGAGAAUCUUGCCCUCGCCGGCGAUCACCUCGGUGCCGGGGCCGAUGACGAUCUCGACAUCGGGCUGGGUAUCGGGAUUGCCGGCCUUGCCGAUGGCGGCGAUGCGACCGUCCUGGAGCCCCACGUCCGCCUUGACGAUGCCCCACCAGUCGAGGAUCAGGGCAUUGGUGAUCACGGUAUCCAUCACGGCGGCGUCGUGACGCUGACUCUGGCCCAUGCCAUCGCGG
rfam:Halomonas elongata DSM 2581, complete genome